rnacentral:misc_RNA from 1 species
AAAAAAAAAAAAAGAAAAAAAAUUUAAAAAAAAAAAAACUUUAAUUCAGAAAACAAGACUUAAAAUUUAUACAUUUUACCUCAUAAAUUUUAAAUUAAAUGAUAUACAUAGAUUGCAAACACACUCAACACGAAGGCACAAGGGAGGGCAUUCAAACGCCGUAGACGGCCAUGAAAAAUGGGGAACACAUCAUACUGACUGGAGACCUCGGCUUAACGAUUGAUAACCAUAACCCCAAAAAACAACGGCCCACGGGAAAGGGAAUUGAAGCCAAACCACACAGUUGAGGGGUAUACUGAAAAGUCACAGAUUCUUCACUAGGGGGAAGAGGAGAUUGACGAAGCACCACAGGACCAAGACUCGGCAGAAGCCUGAAGGAACCGUCCCAAGCACAAAGAGCCCUAGAUCAGAGAGAUCCACACCAGCCAUCCAAACAAAGCAAGCAAGCACCAAACCAUGUUCACUGAAAAAACAGAGGGUGGUCCUCCGGCUAUCUCGCUCUCUUAUAGAGUUUUCGAUAUUCAAAGCUGUAAAAACAAUGCCAUGAACGUCUCCAACAUACUCCUCCCCCACACAGAUUCACAAGCAACAAACUAAAACACAAACAGCAGGUAAAAGGUACCUAACAUCCAAGUAAAGGAGGGAGGCCACUCCUACCCAAAAGGGACGGGGACGACCACUGAACGGCAGUGAGAAAGAAGAUUCGCCUCCGGAAAGAGUAAAAUCCAGAGAAAAAAAAAGUCUGAUGAGUGCAACUAGCUGAAAAAUAAAAAUAAUUCUACACUUGAUGUAAUAUAUACAUGUAUUAGAAGUCGAUCAAAUAUGAUACCCAACGAAGCCAAUUAGUAAGCAUACAAUCCAUAAAAUAAAUCGGAUAGCUUUUUGAAAUUUAUUUUUCAACCAUAAAAUAAAUUCAAAACCAAGGCAAAGGCAAUCUCACCAUUGUUUCUACAGCUAACACUAUAAAAAUUUUAAGUUCAAAAAACCAUUAUUCAGUGCCGAGUAUUUCAAAAAAAGAUCUACACUUGCCUGUAACUAAAAGACACACAACAUACUUAGAAAUCAUAGAACGUUUAGUACAUUAAACCAAGCAACAAGGCUCGCGCCACCGCCAACGAGAGCACACUAGCUUUCAGAGCUGUAGGAUGUCUCACCUACUGACAGAUUUUCUCUCUGCUGACGCUUCAGCUCAUCGUAUGCCCAUUCAAGACCAGGGCAGUAAUGGAGUGGUGGAUUAAAUCUCAUAUCAUUCAUGUCAUCAGGCAAGAAUGCCCCAUUCUCCAGAAGGAAUUUGAUGGCUUCUCUCUUCCUUUCUUUUGCUGCAUUGUGAAGUGGAGUCCAGCCACAGGCACCCCAGGUUCUAGCAUCAAUGUCAGCACCACGCUCAAGCAAUUCAUCCAUAACCUCAACAUGGCCUCCCUUAGCAGCUAGGUGGAGAGGGGACACCCCUUUUGAUUUGGGACCCCAUGCAGGUGCAUUAACAUCCAUUCCUUUAUCAAGUAACCGCUUCACCUCUUUAAGAUCACCUUUUCUGGCACCGAUAUGAAGCAAAGUCCAACCUCGGUCAUCCCUAUCGACUCUUGACCUAAAACUCCGUCUUUUCGACAGACUACGCCUCAGUAAAACCGAAACGGUAUCCAACUGCUCCUGGGGCAUCCUCGUUUUCUUCCUUCCAAUUUAUCAAUCAACGAUGAAAAAUAAUCACAAUACACAAUCUCAGAGGAAAAACGCAACGAUUGAGAAAUCCCCAAAAGCUUGAGAAGGAUUAUAAGAAGACGAUGAAGAACAAAACCACUAAUUUACAUGUUUUUUUUUUUGGAAAAAUUAGCGAGAAGCAAGAAAAUGAUUGGCAAUGCAAUAGGGAGCGAAAGGAUUCAAACCGGGUCCAAAAACACGGAGAUUUUCGAAGAUAACGACGGAAACGAUGGCGGAUGAUGAAGAAAUUACGAACAUAAUUCUUGUUCUUCAAAAAAAAUCCCAAAUUUUGACGAUAUAAACCGAUUAGACGAAAUUGGAGUGAUUAGAGAAAUCCUGGUCUGAUAUGGAGAGAAUUUGAAGGGAACAUAAAGGACGCCGCACCAGAAACCCUAAAAUCCAAGAAAGAGAGAUUUUUUUGUUUUUGUGUUGAAAUUUGCUCAAUUGCAGAAGAUUGGCG